CUUUCACAUGGCGCAAAUAUAGAAGCAAUAAACAAGGAUCACCUCACUCCACUUUUACUUGCUGUGAGUGGAAAAAAAGAGGAAAUGGUAGAAUUUUUGGUAAAGAAGAAUGCAAAUGUAAAUGCAGUCGAUAAAAUGAACAGAACAGCCCUCGUGCUUGCUGCACAUUGUAAAUCACCAA